UACAAAACACCAUCCGCCCGGGAACUACGAGCCCCAGCUUAAAACCCAAAGGACUUGGCGGUGCCCCACCCACCUAGAGGAGCCUGUUCUAUAAUCGAUAACCCCCGCUUAACCUCACCACUUCUUGCCAAUACCGCCUAUAUACCACCGUCGUCAGCCCACCCCGUGAGGGAACAGUAGGCACAAUGAUCAACCAUCAAAACGUCAGGUCAAGGUGUAGCAUAUGAAGUGGGAAGAAAUGGGCUACAUUCUCUAACCUAGAGCACACGAAAAAAUCAUAUGAAAUUAGAUUAGAAGGAGGAUUUAGUAGUAAAAAGAAACAAUAGUGUUCUUUUUAAGCUGGCCCUGGGGCGCGCA
rnacentral:rRNA from 1 species